rnacentral:lncRNA from 1 species
CUCGAAAAUUUAAAUUGUUCAAAAAAAUAAAAGUAUAAUGAUUAGUUCUAACAAAUGAAAAAUAGAGAAAAAAUAAGUUAAAAGAAAUAGAGAAGGGAGAAAAAUAGAGAGAGAAGCAGGAGAGAAUGGAAAAAAAAUGAAAGUUAAAACAACAUAAAAGAAAAAAAAAUUAAAUUGUUCAAAACGAAAAAAUAUGGGGA